UACGUAGGGUGCAAGCGUUGUCCGGAAUUAUUGGGCGUAAAGAGCUCGUAGGCGGUCUGUCGCGUCUGCUGUGAAAACUCAGGGCUUAACCCUGAGCUUGCAGUGGGUACGGGCAGACUAGAGUGCGGUAGGGGAGACUGGAAUUCCUGGUGUAGCGGUGAAAUGCGCAGAUAUCAGGAGGAACACCGGUGGCGAAGGCGGGUCUCUGGGGCCGAUACUGACGCUGGAGGAGCG
rnacentral:rRNA from 1 species